GGCAGACUUUGCCUCCCUUAUAAGUUCCUCGUCAAUUUCUUCGCUGGGCCUUGUAGCAGGGUAAAUCGGAAGCUGUUGUUGACCAGUGGAAGGAAUAGUCACGGCAUCGGUCCUGCGACAAACAAGCAAACGUAACGGAUAAGAAGUUGUUAGGAAAAGCUUCUCCAGGUGAUCCAUAGUAACGCCUUUGAAGCUGUACACGCCGAGAGUCUUGAACAGAUGUUUCACCGGCGUCAUACUGUAACAAGCUGCUAGUGGUGUUCUCGGAUAAUGUACCACGAAGGCCAGACACAUUUCCUGAGAUGCCGCGUAUCCUCCCAAAGUAGGUUUCGUCCUGUCCAACGUACCGUAAACACACUCGGCCAGCAAUUCGUCUCCUGGAAGGACUUUCACCUCCUUCUCCAGAACUCAAACGACGACCGGCCAAGUGAGAAUGCAACACCACCGAAACGAUGUUCACUCCGCCUUCAGGGAACAUCUGUAUGUUUAAAAGUUUAAAAGUUUAAAAGUUUAAAAGUUUAGAAACGAACGGAUGGAAGAAGCGGGUUGCAGUUGUCGAAAGA